UACGUAGGGUGCAAGCGUUGUCCGGAUUUAUUGGGCGUAAAGAGCUCGUAGGCGGUUUGUCGCGUCGGAUGUGAAAACCCAGGGCUCAAUCCUGGGCCUGCAUUCGAUACGGGCAGACUAGAGUAUGGCAGGGGAGACUGGAAUUUCUGGUGUAGCGGUGAAAUGCGCAGAUAUCAGGAGGAACACCGGUGGCGAAGGCGGGUCUCUGGGCCAAAACUGACGCUGAGGAGCGAAAGCGUGGGGAGCGAACAGG
rnacentral:rRNA from 1 species